GCUCCUUUCAGCAGUACAUACUAAAAUUGGAAUGAUACAGAGAAGAUUAGCAUGGUGUUGAGUGGUGAUGACAUGCAAAUUCCUGAAGCAUUUCUCUCCCUG
ensembl:snRNA U6 U6 spliceosomal RNA